rnacentral:rRNA from 1 species
AGUUUGAUCCCUGGCUCAGGAUGAACGCUGGCGGCGUGCCUAAUACAUGCAAGUCGAGCGAACUGAUUAGAAGCUUGCUUCUAUGACGUUAGCGGCGGACGGGUGAGUAACACGUGGGCAACCUGCCUGUAAGACUGGGAUAACUUCGGGAAACCGAAGCUAAUACCGGAUAGGAUCUUCUCCUUCAUGGGAGAUGAUUGAAAGAUGGUUUCGGCUAUCACUUACAGAUGGGCCCGCGGUGCAUUAGCUAGUUGGUGAGGUAACGGCUCACCAAGGCAACGAUGCAUAGCCGACCUGAGAGGGUGAUCGGCCACACUGGGACUGAGACACGGCCCAGACUCCUACGGGAGGCAGCAGUAGGGAAUCUUCCGCAAUGGACGAAAGUCUGACGGAGCAACGCCGCGUGAGUGAUGAAGGCUUUCGGGUCGUAAAACUCUGUUGUUAGGGAAGAACAAGUACGAGAGUAACUGCUUGUACCUUGACGGUACCUAACCAGAAAGCCACGGCUAACUACGUGCCAGCAGCCGCGGUAAUAC